GCAAGUAGAACGCUGAAGGAGGAGCUUGCUUCUCUGGAUGAGUUGCGAACGGGUGAGUAACGCGUAGGUAACCUGCCUGGUAGCGGGGGAUAACUAUUGGAAACGAUAGCUAAUACCGCAUAAGAGCAGUUGUUGCAUGACAGCUGUUUAAAAGGUGCAAUUGCACCACUACCAGAUGGACCUGCGUUGUAUUAGCUAGUUGGUGAGGUAACGGCUCACCAAGGCGACGAUACAUAGCCGACCUGAGAGGGUGAUC
rnacentral:rRNA from 1 species